rnacentral:rRNA from 1 species
CACGUAGUUAGCCGGUGCUUAUUCUUCAGGUACCGUCAUUAGCCCGGGGUAUUAACCCAGACCGUUUCUUCCCUGACAAAAGCGGUUUACAACCCGAAGGCCUUCUUCCCGCACGCGGCAUGGCUGGAUCAGACUUGCGUCCAUUGUCCAAAAUUCCCCACUGCUGCCUCCCGUAGGAGCCUGGGCCGUGUCUCAGUCCCAGUGUGGCUGGUCGUCCUCUCAGACCAGCUACAGAUCGUCGCCUUGGUAGGCUUUUACCCCACCAACUAGCUAAUCUGAUAUCGGCCGCUCCAAUCGCGCGAGGUCUUGCGAUCCCCCCGCUUUCACCCUCAGGUCGUAUGCGGUAUUAGCUACUCUUUCGAGUAGUUAUCCCCCACGACUGGGCACGUUCCGAUAUAUUACUCACCCGUUCGCCACUCGUCAGCUUAACCUGUUACCGUUCGACUUGCAUGUGUAAGGCAUGCCGCCAGCGUUCAAUCUGAGCCAGGAUCAAAACUC